CGUAACGUGAGCAACCUGCCGUUUCAGAGGGGAGUAACAGUUGGAAACGACUGCUAAUACCGCAUAACGCUGCGAUGGGGCAUCCCGAUGCAGCCAAAGGAGCAAUCCGCUGAAAGAUGGGCUCGCGGCCGAUUAGCUAGUUGGUGGGGCAACGGCCCACCAAGGCGACGAUCGGUAGCCGGACUGAGAGGUUGAUCGGCCACAUUGGGACUGAGACACGGCCCAGACUCCUACGGAAGGCAGCAG
rnacentral:rRNA from 1 species